rnacentral:rRNA from 1 species
AGAAUCAACGCUGGCGGCGUGCCUAACACAUGCAAGUCGAACGAGAAAGUGGAGCAAUCCAUGAGUAAAGUGGCGACCGGGUGAGUAACACGUGACUAACCUACCUUCGAGUGGGGGAUAACCUCGGGAACCGAGGCUAAUACCGCAUAACAUCGUGAGAUCAAAGCAGUAAUGCGCUGGAAGAGGGGGUCGCGGCUGAUUAGCUAGUUGGCGGGGUAAUGGCCCACCAAGGCGAAGAUCGGUAG